GCAUGCAAGUCGAGGGAGAACCAUUCGAUCCGUAAGGACCGGAUGGGGAAACCGGCGAACGGGUGCGUAACACGUGAGGAACCUGCCCCGAAGACCGGGAUAGCCCGAGGAAACUCGGAUUAAUACCGGAUACCCUCUUUGGACCACAUGGUCCGCUGAGGAAAUGGUCCGCCGCUUCGGGAUGGCCUCGCGGCCUAUCAGCUUGUUGGUGAGGUAACGGCUCACCAAGGCAAAGACGGGUAGCUGGUCUGAGAGGACGAUCAGCCACACUGGGACUGAGACACGGCCCAGACUCCUACGGGAGGCAGCAGCAGGGAAUAUUGCACAAUGGGCGAAAGCCUGAUGCAGCGACACCGCGUGCGGGAUGAAGGCCUUCGGGUUGUAAACCGCUUUCAGGAGGGACGAAAAUGACGGUACCUCCAGAAGAAGGCCCGGCCAACUACGUGCCAGCAGCCGCGGUAAUACGUAGGGGCCAAACGUUGUCCGGAUUUAUUGGGCGUAAAGGGCUCGUAGGCGGUUCAACAAGUCGAUCGUGAAAGCCCGGGGCUCAACCCCGGGACGCCGGUCGAAACUGUUGUGACUAGGGUCCGGUAGAGGUGAGUGGAAUUCUCGGUGUAGCGGUGGAAUGCGCAGA
rnacentral:rRNA from 1 species